rnacentral:lncRNA from 1 species
GAAAAACACUUGUCAUUCCUAGCUUUCUGUGUUCCUCUUUUGUUCCAGCAGAGCUUUGGUUGUACUACUCUAAUACCCAUACAACACUGCUUUCCUUAGAGCCACAGCUACUGCUGAGAACUCAAAAACUUCUUCCUUUCCGGUGAACACGUCUAGACUUGGGCUGGGGAUGGGAUGAAGAUCUCUAACACCUUCCUGGAAAUCAAGAAGUGCAAAUAGUCCAGGCUGACGGGCAAUGGCGGGAUCAUGGCUCAGUGCAGUUUCGAUCUCCUGGGCUCAAGUGGUCCUCCCACCUCAGCCUCCCAAGAAGUUGGGACCACAGGAGGGGGCCACCAUACCCGGCUAAUUUUUUUGAUGUUUUGUAGAUAUAGGGUCUCCCUAUGUUGCCCAGGUUGGUCUCUAACUCCUGAGCUCAAGUGUUCUGCCCACUUCAGCCUCCCAAAGUGCUAGGGUGAAAGGCCUGAGUCACCACUGCCAGCCAAUUGCUGAAGUUUUUGGAAAAGAAAAUUCUUGUCUGAUCCAUGGGAGUUGCUUCAAAGGCCACAGGAUUCUGCUGCAAAUUCUAACAGGAGGAGGCAAUGGCAGCCCUUACUAAAACCGCAGAACUACAGGAAGAGGAUCCCUGAGUGGGAUUCCUGUGUGAAAGGCAUUUUCACCUUUUUGUGUAUCUUCAGAAUCUUAACUUUCAUGAGAGAAGAAUAGAAAUGCAACAAUGGAACAAUCCACUGUAUACACGUAGCUGACAAUUUAAUAAACUUGAAGGAAAUGCUACAG